UACGGAGGGUGCGAGCGUUGUCCGGAAUCACUGGGCGUAAAGGGCGCGUAGGCGGCGUUUUAAGUCGGGGGUGAAGGCCUGUGGCUCAACCACAGAAUGGCCUUCGAUACUGGGACGCUUGAGUAUGGUAGAGGUUGGUGGAACUGCGAGUGUAGAGGUGAAAUUCGUAGAUAUUCGGAAGAACACCAGUGGCGAAAGGCGACUCACUGGACACGUAUUGACGCUGAGGUGCGAAAGCGUGGGGAGCAAACAGGG
rnacentral:rRNA from 1 species